rnacentral:rRNA from 1 species
UACGUAGGGGGCAAGCGUUGUCCGGAAUUAUUGGGCGUAAAGCGCGCGCAGGCGGCUGUUUAAGUUGGGUGUUUAAUCCCAGAGCUCAACUCUGGGUCGCACCUGAAACUGGACGGCUUGAGUGCAGGAGAGGAAAGCGGAAUUCCACGUGUAGCGGUGAAAUGCGUAGAGAUGUGGAGGAACACCAGUGGCGAAGGCGGCUUUCUGGCCUGUAACUGACGCUGAGGCGCGAAAGCGUGGGGAGCAAAAAGG